rnacentral:rRNA from 1 species
GUCCAUAUGUUUAAUUAGCUUUAUAUGGUCUGGCCUGCUCACUGAUAUUUAAAUUAAAGAGCCGCGGUAUUUUGACCGUGCGAAGGUAGCAUAAUAAUUAGUCUCCUAAUUAGAGGCUUGUAUGAAUGGUCGGACAAGAUGGAAUCUGUCUCAACACAAUAAAUAAAAUUUAAUAACUAAGUAAAAAAGCUUAGAUAAAAUGGAGGGACGAUAAGACCCUAUAAAGCUUUAUGGUAUUUUUCUUUCUUAUAAAUUGUAUUGUUAUUAACUUAUUUUAGAAUUUUUAUCAUUUUACUGGGGCGGUAAAAGUAUAAUUAGAUUAACUGCUUUUGUUUUAAAUAACAAUUUUAGUUGGAAAUAAAUUGAUCCAUUAUUAAUGAUCACAAGAACAAGUUACUUUAGGGAUAACAGCGUAAUUUUUUUUGAGAGUUCUCAUCGAAAAAAAAGUUUGCGACCUGGAUGUUGAAUUAAGGUUCUUUAAGGGCAGGAGUUUAAAGGUGAUC